AACGAACGCUGGCGGCAUGCCUAACACAUGCAAGUCGAACGAGACCUUCGGGUCUAGUGGCGCACGGGUGCGUAACGCGUGGGAACCUGCCCUUAGGUUCGGAAUAACUCCCCGAAAGGGGUGCUAAUACCGGAUAAUGUCUUCGGACCAAAGAUUUAUCGCCUUUGGAUGGGCCCGCGUUGGAUUAGCUAGUUGGUAGGGUAAAAGCCUACCAAGGCGACGAUCCAUAGCUGGUCUGAGAGGAUGAUCAGCCACACUGGGACUGAGACACGGCCCAGACCCCUAGGGGGGGCAGCAGUGGGGAAUAUUGGACAAGGGGCGAAAGCCUGAUCCAGCAAGGCCGGGUGAGUGAGGAAGGCCUUAGGGUUUUAAAGCUCUUUUACCCGGGAUGAAAAUGACAGUACCGGGAGAAUAAGCCCGGGCUAACCCCGU
rnacentral:rRNA from 1 species